GUAGUCAUAUGCUUGUCUCAAAGAUUAAGCCAUGCAUGUCUAAGUAUAAGCAAUCUAUACAGUGAAACUGCGAAUGGCUCAUUAAAUCAGUUAUCGUUUAUUUGAUAGUACCUUACUACUUGGAUAACCGUGGUAAUUCUAGAGCUAAUACAUGCUAAAAAUCCCGACCUCUGGAAGGGAUGUAUUUAUUAGAUAAAAAACCAAUGCCUUCGGGCUCCUUGGUGAUUCAUGAUAACUUUACGAAUCGCAUGGCCUUGCGCCGGCGAUGGUUCAUUCAAAUUUCUGCCCUAUCAACUUUCGAUGGUAGGAUAGUGGCCUACCAUGGUUUCAACGGGUAACGGGGAAU
rnacentral:rRNA from 1 species